GUUUUUGCUGAGACUUUGAGCCUCAUACAUUAAUAAGAGGCUGUAACAAGGAAAUCAAGAUACACAAUGUGUUCUUCAUAAAUGAAAUCGUUGGCUUCUUUAACCGAAACUUUAAUACGAGCAAUAUAUAACUGCAAUGCCUUAUAGGAAUUUCUUAACAAGAGCGGUUUUUGAGCAGCCCCUAAAAAGCAGCAAUCAGUAAUAAAAAUGAGGACAUUAGCACUCAGACCAGAGUAAAAGCAUCAUUAAAAUGCAAGUUCUAAGGUACGCUACUUUAAAUUUCCCUCAUUACACGUGCAAUUAGGGAAUAAACAAUAAAGCAAUGAUCAUUUUUCUGUAAUUUCUUAUCCUAACUACCGUUUGAAAGUGUAAUUAAUGUAAGGUGGGCCGAGCUGAAGUGCAGUGAGCAGUGUUCUCCUCUAGAGCAAUGGGUGGAUGGAUCACUGCCUGCACCUGCCCAGUGUGGUCCGCUCCUGGCAGUGGCAGAGCUGCCUUUGCACCUUUUGUUGUAUGAAGAUAAGAUGGGAAUUAAGACAGCGCUCACUGAAGGGCUGAUUUUAAUAUAUAUGCACUACUAUUUGUGUAUGGAUUUUGUAAUCCAUCAUUCUGGCUUCAUCUGGACAGAGAGAGUCGCUAUGGAUUUGGCACAAACAGAAAUUGUGGAUAACUUGUGCUGUGGCACCAGAACUGUUCUAGCAAGAAGAAAUGGUGUAAAUGAGUUUUUUAAAAGGUGAAAUGUGGUUCUUCUGUGCAGUAGGACAUCUUGUUUCACUGGGAGGGAAUAAUUCCAAACUUCAAGAAGGAAAUACGUGGGUGGGAUUUACUUUCUCCUCAUUGACGGUCGGUUGCAGAAGGGCAUUCAGGAGCAGCACAUCAGCGUAGCCGUGCUCCUGGUGGUGAGCUGCCAGCAGGUGGGGGGAGAAAAGUCUGGGUUUAUUCCUUUUGCCUGUAUCAUAUUGCUCGGAUUGACAUCGGUUGAGGAGCAUCUGGAAGAGAAUAGGACACGGAUAGCUGUAAUUGUGCUGCAUCUUGCAAGUGUUUUGAGAAGAAUUCCACUUUGGAAGUGAUGCAUUAAUGAAAAGCUUUACCAUAAACCCUGAGAUAUGAAAAUUGAUGGAAGCGCAGCUUCAGAAAAGCAUUACAUUUUUAGUUUGGGCCGGGUUAGAUGGUGUGAGGGAAAUGUUCUGUCACAGCCUGAACUGAUGAUUGAUCACCUGGUGCAGGGGGUGGCUGGCCCAGGAAGCACAGGUGCAAGCAAUUCAUCUGUGCUUCCCACCUGAUCGGGAGGAGUGCACCCUUAAUGAGCUCCCUGGGCACAGAUGAGGGCUGGCCUCCAGGAGAAGAGUGUCUCCUGGAUGAAGGCUGCCUCCUGAGGAGGAGUGUUCUGUUACUAGAGACCAGUUGGCCUCCAGGAAGAAGAGGUCUCGGAGCAUUCAGCACCUUCCCCAUGGGGCCCCUGUGCAUGGUACCCGAGCAGCAAUACCCACUCAUGUGCCUCGAGCUGCCCUGUGCCUGCAACAUGUUGGCUGCCCUGCCAUCACCUGGAUUGAUGCACCCGGUCCUGCUUAGCUCGUGAUGUCUGUCUGGAUCGCGGUGCUAGGAGUCAUCAGAACCUGGCACUCCUUGGGGCAGCUGGACACAAGAGGACCCUGGUGAGGAUGAGGAUGUCACUGCGCUCUUCCCAUCAUGGCCGUGAUGCACAAAGUCCUUCCAGGUAUUGCAUGUUGGAGUAAGCAUACUUGGUUAUGUACUCAUCUCUGCAAGGACUGAUGCCCUUGUCUUAGAAAGUUAGCUGUAGGAAAUGGAGCAACGCAAGUAUUACAGCACCAUUGGUUUUUAUUUUUUAAAUGCAUUUCAGUCUUGUUAUCAUCUUGACAUUGCAUAAUUCAGGUGCUGGAACAAUAGUGAGAUUGUGGACGGAAGAGAAUGGAAGGGAGCACAUCUCCAGCAAGGUCCCACGUGCCGCUCCAGUGCCACUGGAAGCCAAAGGCCGACAGCUGCUGCUGGCAGUGCUGGUGCAGGCAGUGCCACCUCUGCAGUCUGAGGCUGCUUCAAAUCCACGCCCUACCAUGAUGCCUGGAAUGGAGAAGUUGUUCUUCAGACUUUUUGCAAUUCCAGCUGUAAAAUUGAUCUCUAAGUACUGCUUUUCUCCGUGUGGUGAAUUAACCAUUAGUGCACAAUGGAGGAAAAAUGCUUCUUCAAAUAUGGGGAUUUUUUGAUGGCCAUAAAAGAGGAGAAGAAAGUGCAGAAGGCGAUUGUUGUGCCGUGGGGAUGGACCUGCAGCUCUGGGGGGACCUGAGCCUAUGGCCAGGAGCCCCUGCUACGCCAGCUGUGCAUGUGAAACACAAUGUGCCUUUGGGAGACGUGCACCCGGACUCGAGUUCUAUAUGGAAGUUUUUUUCAUGUGAACAUAACUGAGCCGCGCUUGUCUGUUUUGCUUUCAGCUUACCAAACAAAUCCUUUUGCUGUAUGCAGGAAGCAGUAAUUUUGCUUCCAGCAUCUCUGUUUACUAAGAAAUAAUAAACACUUGUGGGAAGGUUUAUCUUGCCAUA